rnacentral:rRNA from 1 species
UACGAAGGGGGCUAGCGUUGCUCGGAAUGACUGGGCGUAAAGGGCGCGUAGGCGGCUUGCACAGUCAGGCGUGAAAUUCCUGGGCUCAACCUGGGGACUGCGCUUGAGACGUGUGGGCUUGAGUGGGGAAGAGGGUCGUGGAAUUCCCAGUGUAGAGGUGAAAUUCGUAGAUAUUGGGAAGAACACCGGUGGCGAAGGCGGCGAGCUGGUCCAUUACUGACGCUGAGGCGCGACAGCGUGGGGAGCAAACAGG